UUUCCGUAGGUGAACCUGCGGAGGGAUCAUUAUUGUAUGCCCGACGCAAGAGCGUAGUCGCUGCCCCGGACGGUCGUGCACGCCCGUGUACCCCCCCACCCACCCAUCCCACCCCUAUGUGCACCACCGCGCGGGUCACACUUUGGCUUCUUCGGAGGGGGGCUUACGUUAUAACUCAAACCUAGUAUGCACUGUAGAAUGUAUUUUUUGUUUUUGCGAUCACGCAGUCAAUACACCUUUCAACAACCGAUCUCUUUGCUCUCGCAUCGAUUAAGAACC
rnacentral:misc_RNA from 1 species